rnacentral:lncRNA from 1 species
CACGCUUGGGAUAAAUGUCUUCACUCCAACACAGCCUCAUCUGGGCUAAGGGAGUCAAGCAUCAGGUUUUAUGGGUCUGACGAAGAUGUUUGAAAUAUUGUAGGAGACUGUCAAGGAAUACUUAUACCCACUCUGAAAAAGGGCCGUUCUUAAUUUUCAUCUUUCCUGUAAGUCAGAAAGAUAUAUACUCUCCAAAUAAUGGCAGUUUCCUUGUCCUGAAGUUAUGGCAGCUUGGUGAUACAAUAAACAGCACCCUGUCAUAAGGACCACAUAAAACAUGGUCUGACAUUUCUUUAAAAGUAAAAAGAAACACAACCGCAGCAGAUGACCUUUCCUCCGAGGGCACAGCUGUUUUGUGUGGUUAGAGGGACCCGCAGUCUCAUAUUUGGGGGCUACGAUAUACGACUGGCUUUUCACAAAGUGUUUCCAUGAGAAACUACAGUACGUUCCAAAGGGGAGCACCAAUUCACAUCAGGCAGGGAGGAUUUUUUUCCCCUCUUGAUGUUUUCCAAAUGAUAUUUGUGCUGAAUAUUUGCUAUUAGAAACUUCUUUGGUGCAUGAAGUGUGAGUGGUAUCGAGAAUACCAAGGUGUCUUUUGCUUCCUGGUGGAGUUUGAUGGUGGGCUUUCUACCGGGUUGGUGAGCCAGCACCUUCGUGGACUUAUGAGGAGUCACUCAAGCAGUGGUGCUUCUGUGGGUCAGGACUGGAAGUUUCUGGGG